rnacentral:lncRNA from 1 species
CCAUACUCCGGCGAAGCGGCGGCGAUUCACCUCGGGUUGGCCGCCGAAUUCGACCAUGUUUGCAUCGGUCCCUACGAUAGAACAACCCUAGGGCCCUCGGUGGGCCGAAAAAUCACGAAAAAUCGAAACUUACCGGCGGCGGUGCUCUCGGGUGCGGUGGCUCCUCCGGCGUGAGUCGCGUUUUGAUGUUUGGCUCCGAUCAACCUGUAAAGAAAAGAACGGUGAUCACAGUGGUAUAAAAUUUGCAUCAAACGGAGACCAAGAAGGGCC